GAGAUGCCAGGCCUCAUGUCUUGCAGGACUGAGUUCGGACCCCAGCAGCCAUUCAAGGGUGCCAAGAUCACUGGCUCACUCCACAUGACCAUCCAGACUGCCGUCCUUAUCGAGACCCUCACCGCCCUUGGCGCCGAGGUCCGCUGGUGCUCCUGCAAUAUCUUCUCCACCCAGGACCACGCCGCCGCUGCCAUUGCCCGCGACAGCGCCGCCGUCUUCGCCUGGAAGGGCGAGACCCUACAGGAGUACUGGUGGUGCACGGAGCGGGCCCUCGACUGGGGUCCCGGUGGCGGCCCCGAUCUCAUCGUGGACGACGGCGGCGAC
rnacentral:lncRNA from 1 species